AGAACACGUGCAACAGGAAACGCCGGUGUUGGGCGGACAGGCGAAGGGGUUGGUCUUUGGUCCCUCAUCCCCUCUCCCUCUUCCUCCCCCUCUCUCUCACCCUCUCCCUCCCCCUCUCUCUCCCCCUCAACCUCACCCUCUCCCUCUCCCUCACCCUCUCCCUCACCCUCUCCCUCUCCCUCAUCCCCUCUCCCUCUUCCUCCCCCUCUCUCUCCCCCUCUCCCUCUCCCUCACCCUCACCCUCUCCUUCCCCCUCUCCCUCACCCUCUCCCUCACCCUCUCCCUCACCCUCACCCUCACCCUCUCCCUCACCCUCACCCUCUUCCUCUCUCCCUCACCCUCUCACUCUCUCCCCCUCUCCCUCACCUUCCUCACCCUCUCCCUCCCCCUCUCCCUCACCCUCUCCCUCCCUCACCUUCCCGCUCUUCCUCACCCUCUCCCUCACCCUCUCUCCCUCCCUCACCUUCCUCCCCCUCUCCCUCCCCCUCUCCCUCCCCCUCUCCCUCCCUCACCCCCUCCCUCCCCCUCUCUCUCCCCCUCUCGCUCCCCCUCACCCUCUCCCUCACCCUCUCCUUCCCCCUCUCCCUCACCCUCUCCUUCCCCCUCUCCCUCACCCUCUCCUUCCCCCUCUCCCUCACCCUCUCCCUCACCCUCUCCUUCCCCCUCUCCCUCACCCUCUCCUUCCCCCUCUCCCUCACCCUCUCCUUCCCCCUCUCCCUCACCCUCUCCUUCCCCCUCUCCCUCACCCUCCCCCUCUCCCUCCCCCUCUCCCUCCCUCCCUCCCCCCUCCAGGAGGUGCGAGGUGUGCUGCGUCCAUCGGGCCCUGGCCGUGCGCAGAUCCCUCAACCUUUGCUACGAGGAGCGCUUACUAACUUAUUUAUUUUCCGAGCGAGCUAAUGUUUAACGAGCUGCUCGUUGCUUAGCGUUGACAUGAGCCCCCCCCCCCACGGCCCGUUUUUCAUACUCGGCUGUCCUCGUGCGCAUAAAAGCAUCCGCCUCUUAUCAGGGAAGUUGUGCGGG
rnacentral:lncRNA from 1 species